GAGAAGAUUCCAUGGGAAGGAGAGUUCCGCCCAAAGAAGCGAUCCGUGAGCUGGGUUAAUAGCGUCCUGCGGCAGUUUUGGUCUCAUGGUCUGUAACCGCAGGACA
rnacentral:rRNA from 11 species